AUACGACUCACUAUAGGGCGAAUUGGGCCCGACGUCGCAUGCUCCCGGCCGCCAUGGCGGCCGCGGGAAUUCGAUUAGAGUUUGAUCCUGGCUCAGGAUAAACGCUGGCGGCGUGCAUAAAACAUGCAAGUCGAACGGGCAGGUUUCGGCCUGCCAGUGGCGAACGGCUGAGUAACACGUAAGUGACCUGCCCCCGAGUGGGGAAUAACUGCUCGAAAGAGUGGCUAAUACCGCAUGUACUCGSGUCUUCGUUGGUGSGAGUAAAGCCUUCGGGUGCUUGGGGAKGGGCUUGCGUCCGAUUAGCUAGUUGGKGGGGUAACGGCCCACCAAGGCGAUGAUCGGUAGCUGGUCUGAGAGGAUGAUCAGCCAGACKGGGACUGSGACACGGCCCAGACUCCUACGGGAGGCAGCAGUUAGGAAUUUUGCGCAAUGGCCGAAAGGCUGACGCAGCAACGCCGCGUGGGGGASGAAGGUCUUCGGAUCGUAAACCCCUUUUCCGAGGGAAGAUGAUGACGGUACCUCG
rnacentral:rRNA from 1 species